CGCUACGCCGCGGGAGAGCGUCGUUCGGAACUCCGAACGGCCGCCGAAGGAGCAACACCUCUCCGUCAAACUCUCAGGCACCCGGGACCGUGGCUGCUGA
rnacentral:ncRNA from 2 species